rnacentral:lncRNA from 1 species
GUAGCUGGGACUACAGGUGUCCGCCACCAUGUCCGGCUAAUUUUUUUGUAUUUUUAGUAGAGACCGGGUUUCACUGUGUUUGCCAGGAUGGUCUCGAUCUCCUGACCUCGUGAUCAAAGUGCUGGGAUUACAGGCGUGAGCCACCGCGCCCAGCCUACUUCCCUCCUUUCAAAACCUCAAGUUACAUUUGACUUUCACAGAAUAACUGACCCCAGAAUUGGGCUGGACCCAAUACUUGCUCAGGUCCUUACCAGAAGACAGGCGAUGUACACCCUGAUUGGGAAGGAAGCUGCCUGCACCAGAGUUACGAGGAGCUAAGAUGGCGCAGCCAAGGUGGUGAGCAAACUGCUUUCCAGAUCAGUGCUUUUUCAGGAUACCAUUCUCCUUUUUAUUUUGGACAACAAGUAUGAAUGUUCUAAACUAUGGAAGGAAAAGGAUGUACAUAGAUACUGCAGAGUUCUACAAAAGAUGAUUUCUUAAGAGACACAUUUGGAUAAUUGGAGGAGAAAUCACUCAAGGUCUAUUGACACAGUAGAGAAGGCUGUUCUUUGCACCUCUGAUUCAGGGAGUGAAGACCUGUUUUCCACCAACUGUUACAGAAGAAACUUAUGCAACAGAAAAUUCAAUGUCCAUGCUCUGGGAAGCUUAUGAAGAAACUAGUAGAUUCUUGAACAACAAUAACAACAAUAACAGUAAUAAGACAUCACCAGUUGCUGAGGUGGUACUUCUGUCUGGGUUCUGGCCCCAUAGUUUUUGUUCCAGAGGAUAAAAGAGGUGUCCCUCAACCGCCUUUCUUUGCAGCCCUCCCUCUGAGGGCAAAAAAAUGAUCCCAAAGAACAAAUUUGAUCCUGUCACUCCUCUGCUUAAACCUUUCAGACAAUCCUACUCAAUAAUCUAUUGCAAUUUCCUCAAACUUUAGUCAAAAUAUAUAUAUUUUUGCCUUAUCCCAGUGCCAUUUAUACACUUUCUACUUAAAGCGUGCUCUUUGGACCACCCUCAUGGGCAGCAUCUGGGAGCUUACCACAAAUGCGGAGUCUCAGGCUCCACCCCGACCUCCCCUCAACAGAAUCUGCAUUUAAACAAGAUACUCAGAUGGUGUGUAUGCAUAUUAAAGGUUGAAGGACACAGUCCUACACUUUCUAGAUAUAUAUUUUUUAAUUGGCAUUCUUCUAAAAAUGCAAACAAAUCUCUUUAAAGACAACUAUAUCACUAAUACAAGUGAAAAGCCAGUGCCAUUUUCUAUAAAUAGCAUAUUAUCUAUAAAAGUAAAUACAAUAAACAUAAAACAACGUGCCAGGAAAAAUUAUGAAAGACAUUAAAAUGGGCAAAAAAUAAGGUUACUGGGUAUCUUGUCUAUUGCACCCUUCUGGGUUAUUUGUUCUUUUAAUUGUUCUUGAGCUAUUUAUAAGACUUUAAGUUAUAGAAAACUUAUGUGUAAAUAGACUUACACAAUACACAUCUUACCAAUAGGAGAGCCAAUGAGUUUUAGCUGAUGGAAUGGAAUUGCUUACUGCUCUGUUGAUAUUGAUCAGUUUUGCCUCUAUUGGUAAAUUCAUCUCAGCAUUCCUUAUCUGCCUCUUUAUGUGUGUGUUACUUGAAUUCUCCUUUGAACUGGUUGUAACAUCUUACUUGUUCACUCAUUAAUAAGUUAAAUAAAAUCAUUAACACAUGUUCAUUUUAUAUUUGUAUGAAAGUUAUGAUUUUAUCUUUUAAAAAUUAUCCUUUGACAAACAUAAUUUUCAACUGUAGCUAGAUACUGAUGCCUUCCAACAAUUCUAAGCCUGAGGCCAAUCUUUGUCUGAUAAAGAUGGAGAUGAGCACAUUUUUCAUAGGUACUUAUUCAUUCAGCAAAUAUCUUUUGAACAUCUGCUGUGUCCUGAACAUUGUUCACUUUAACAGUUGGGAAUUAUUCAGGUGUGAAAAAAAUGUUAAAAAUUCCUGGCCUUAAUGAGCGUAUAUUCUGGUAGGGAUAGAUACAUACUAAACAAAAUAAAAUUGAAAAUUAUGUAGUAUACUAAUUGAUGAUAAAUGCUAUUGGGAAAAAUAAGUCAAGGAUGGAGUUAUGAAGGGGAUUCAAUUUUAUGUAACUGGUGUCAGGGAGGGCAUCCCCGGGAAGACGACAUGUGAACCAAGACUUGAAGAAAAUAGGGGUGUGAACCACAGGUAUCCUGGGAAGGGCGUUCCAGGCAGAGAGAAUGGAAAGCGCAAAGGUCCUGAGUAGGAAUGCGCUUGUUGGGUUCAAAGACUAGGAAGGAGGCUAAUGUGACUCUAGUAGAAUGCAUGAGGGAAGGAGACAAAAUGAGCUCAGAGAUGUCAUUGGAAGUCAAGUUGUUGCAAGGCCUUGUAGGUCAUUGAAAGGACUUCAGUUGUUAUUCCAAGUGAGUUGAGGAGCAUGUAUUAGGGCUCUGCAGAGAAACAGAACCGAUAGGAUAUAUAUAAAAAUAGAGGAGCCAAGAAGUCUCACAAUCUUCUGUUUGUAAGCUGGAGAACCAGAAAAGCCAGUGGUGUAAUUCAGUCUGAGUCUGAAGGCC